rnacentral:lncRNA from 1 species
GUGGAUCGCUGUCACCUGCGGCAGCGCCGUCGCCGGAGCACGGCGGAGCCGCUAUGUCAGAAUUCUGAUAUUGGCCAAAAGGGGCCCUAGGUCUAAUUUAGGAUUUUUUUUGGGACACAUGUAGGUACCGGUAGUGCGUUUCAGUUUUUCGAAAAAAAUUCAGGAAAAUUAGGGACAGCUUGUAGGCGCACUGUAGAGUCGGUUUCAGACCCCGAAACAAGUAAGGAUCUCUCACCCUAUUUCCUAUCACGGUAUUAAAACUAAAUAAAUAAUUAAAUUGUACUUUAUGAAUUUAUAGAUGUAUAGUUGAUUAAGGUUGCCAAUGGAACCCGAGUCUGAUACAGUGUUAGUCUAUUGUUGUUUGAUCUAUUCUUCAGUAUUAAAUGCAGCAUGAUGUCUGAUGUAUUUAUUUUAUGGUCUCGUAUGCAUGAAUCAUAGUUUCUUUUAUUAUGGUUGAUAUUAUGGUUAACCCGAUACUGUGUUGUCUUGUUUGCUGUCAAUUACUGGUUUACAUGUUGUGUAUGAUUGGAUGAUUGAGAUUAAGAAAAAAAGCAGAAAGCUUAUGUGAAUUGAUAAGUGAAAAAUGUGGACAGCCUGACUGGAUAUCCUGGGAGAUGGUGGAUGGACCAGGUCCGUAGGGAACCCUACCGGGAACGUGGUCUCUCAUACUGGACGGGGUAUGGAGACCUUAUGUGUUUUGGCGCCCAUACCGGACGGAGUAUGGGGACGGCCCGUUUCACCUUCAUACCGGACGGGGUAUUGAGGUUCAUGGUUUUGGCGCCCAUACCGGAUGUGGUAUGGGGACGGCCAUAGAAUCAGGUUGUAAUAUUAAUGGUUCACGGGUAGCGGGGACCCCCUAUGGAUCCCCAUGGAUACUAAUAGGCUGGUAAAGAGGAAAAUAUGUUGUUUAAUGAUUGAAAUGCAAAGGUGUGGUAAGUGUUAUGUUAUAAAAUUUAUAUGAUUUCAUGAUGAUGAUAAUGUUAUUGCUUUCAUAUGUUGUUUUCAUGGAUCUCACCGAGAUAAGUGGACAGUAAAUGUUCUUAUGUUAAUAAACGAGUUUGUUAUAAAUUAUGCUCCAUUGGUCAUUUUUGUUUUCUACCCACCUUUACUUCCGUGGUGGUGAGAUAGUGUGAUGUCUUUACUGGGCUGGUGUAGCUCAUUCCUUAUUUAAUCAUUUUAGAUCAGGAAUACGUUGUUCCCGACCUCGUUCUACAGGAAGACGACGAAGGGGACGCCUAAAGACUUCAUAAUUAUAUUUAUAGUUCUUAUUUCGAGUAUCUCUUUUAGUUAGCUUGUUCCUUCAUGUUUUGAGUACGUUUUGGUUAUUGUGUAAGGGAUGUUAAUUAAAAUUUUUAUUACGCUUCCGCAUUCGAGAUUUUUAAUACAUACAUUUUAUUUAAAUUUUUGGGGCUGUUAUAUUUUUAACAAUCAAAAUGUAUUAGGCAUGGAAAGUACAAGUUAUAGCGGAGAAUAUGGAUUAGAGAGCAUGAGUUUUGAGGAUGACUUCUAGCUAUAGAACAUGAGCUUUUUAGACAUGCAGCAUCAAUUUGGAUCAGAAGAGUUUGGGAAUAUGAUAAUGGGAAAUGAAUUUGGAUAUGUGAGAAUGACAACUAUGAGAUCAAAUGAUGAACAUGAGGCUCAAGAAAGGGGAAAUAAAAGUUCAACUGAUCAAUUUUGGCUUUUUAUAUUCAAUUUGGAUGACAAUCACUCAAGUUUUUGGGAUUGAAGAAAUAUUCAAGGAUUUCAAAAAAUAAAACAAAACCCUCACAAUAACAAUUUUAUUGUUCAUGUUUCUUUUGUUCUCGUGUUUUGUCUUUAGAUUCAUGAUUUAUCUUUAUAUUUUUUCUAAUCUUUCAUUGUCAUAUCUAAAUGAUGUUUUUGUCUCUCUCAUAGAGUUUAUUAUGGGACUUAAUGUUUGCAAUAAUAACUGAAGACAAAUGUAUUAUAAAAGAUAAACCCAUGAGCUUACGUACAAGUAUCUUUUAUAUUUUUUACCGUUAAGAGAUGGAAGUUGGAUGAAUCUCUAGUGGCUCCUUCCAUCGGCAUCAUCGAACCAUGUUAGUAAUCCAUAAAAACUGGAAGCUCGAAAUGACUGAUCAAAGGAUUUGAUCCAUUUAGUUCUGUUCUUCUCUGCUUUUAUAGCACACCCAUAUAGAGGUAUCUUUCUAACGCUAAGCGCGCUGCUUCUCCUGUCCAAGUGAAGAGUAUCUUAGAAAAGUCCUUCCAGCUUGCAUAUUUCUUCUGCCAUUAAGAAUGGAACAUCUCUCAACUUGUAAGUGUUAGAGAUGUUGCAUUCUGUUGCAGGUUUUGGUUGAUUAAAGAAUCCUCUCAGAAGCCCGUGUAUAUUAGUAAAAGAUGUGACUUUCACGAGUUUGACUUUUCUUGUUCGUUAAAUAGAAAGUGAACUCACAGGGUUUUUCUUCAAAACGUUGCUAUGCAAAAAGCUUUGUUUCUUCAAUUUCUUGGAGAGGUUCCACCUGCUCAAUUUAUAAUUGGUGUUGUGCUAUGUAUCGAUUUUAGUGUUUAUUUUGUUAGACACCCCUAAACCUAUUAUUUCAUUUAUUUUUUUUAAAUAUAUAUAUAUAUAUUACAUUGUGCUGUUUCGUACACACAAAAAUAAUAUAUUUUAUUGUAACCAUUAAGAAUUUUGUAACGACUGAAGAUACUUUUAAGAGUUGAAUCUUUUAUAAGAUUUUUCAAAAAAAGAUUAAGGAAUAAGAGAUCAAAAGUCUCGUCUUAAGUUGGUAUAAAUACUUUGUAUUGAUUAGUAUUAAAACCAAUUCAAUAAUUUGGAGGUUCUAUAGUUCUCAGUUUGUUUGGUGAAUCAAAACCUAUAUAUCAUCUAUAGAGCAUUUGCCUCUUAAUAAUGUUUUCGCCAUCUGUUCUAGAAUUAACAGCGACAAGAAAAAGAAGAAGCACUUGAAGGUUUGAUAGAUGGUGUUCACCUCUAGAAGGUGUUUGGACAAACUUGAGCCAGCAAGAGGCGAAGAUGUCUUGGGAGACCGGCUUGGUAAUAUUAAAUAUUUUUUUCUUUCAAAAAGUUGUUGUUUACUAAACUUUAAUCAUGCAGAACUAUUGGCAACAAGAGAAGCUCUACCCAUACUUGUAAAUAAUCAUGUUGAAGUUGCAGAGACAUUUUUAGUUAGAAAUGACUAGGUAAUGGCAAUUUCUUGGAUGGUGAACAAUUUAUUUCCAUGGGUAAUGAAUGGCAUGGAAACGUAAUAAAAAAUUUUAAGCAAGAGCUUGGAGAUUUGAACUUUAUGUGUUAGUAGGAAGAAAAAUAAUAACAAAAUAAACAACUCUUUAGCGGUGAAGAUGGGUAGUUUGCGCAUCCAAAACUCUAAUAGUUUCAGUUUUAGGAUGAUUAACUGGUCGAUUAAUCAGUUUUUCUGUAGUGGUUGUUGUAAAUAUUUUUAUGAAUUUAUUAUUUUUAUCAUAUUUAUUUUUGAAUUAAUUUAAAAUUAUUAGGACAGCUCCUAUAGUUUUUUUUUAUAGUUAGAUUAACUUCAUAAUAAAAUCUAAUUAAAAUAACCAUUAAGGAAGAUCAUACAAAUUAGGUAUAAUUAAGAAUUUAUAUCAGAGAUAUGAAUCCCAAAAAAAUUAUUACAACACCUUCUACUUUAUUUGCAAGAUAAUCAAAAACAAAAAAGAAGACACUACACUAGAAUUAUCAAAAUUACUCAUAGUUAUGUAAUAUAUAUAUAUAUAUAUAUAUGAGUAUAUAUACUACUCAUACAUGACCAUGAUAUUUACCUGCUUUCCCUUUUCCCUUUCUUUUAGCCAUGGAGGUUGGUUCAGCAGCUAAUUUUAGGGUUUUGCCAAAGCCAUCUGUGCUAGUUGAUUGAUCUUCAUGGAGGUCUUGCACUGACCUCUUUCUGCUUUCUUCAGCACUUCCUUUGGCGACUUUAUCAUUAGUCCCCCAACCCAUCGCCAAUUUGUAAAGUCAUUAAUGCAUAUAUAUAUAUAUAUAUGCUUAAUAUGAAUGCCA